rnacentral:lncRNA from 1 species
CUUUCAAAUCUGAGCGAGAGUGGCACUUAGAAAGAAGGCUGGACUUGGAACAAAAGCGACGGCGCAAGGCAGAGAAGGAGAGAGAUGAACUGCGGAAGUCACUCAUUAGUGUCCUUUCUGAGGACCAGGUUCGAGCCUUAGAGAGAAAAACAAUGUAGGGAAGUGCAUGGUCACCAGGCACACUUCAGAAAGCCCUUCACGUAAAAGUUGCUUGUGGCAGCAAGGGCUACAACUUUGUCAAAGAAAACAUUGUUCCCUUACCAGCCGCAAGGACAUUGCAGAAGCACACUGAACACAUCAAGUUCAGACCUGGUAUUCUGGACGAAGUUUUCGUUGCCCUAAAGGAGAAAGUGGCUGCAAGGAGUCCCAGUGAGAGACACGCUUGUGUUUUGAUGGAUGAAAUGCAAAUUUCACCUGGGCUAGAUUAUGAUGCUUCCAUUGGCAGCAUCAUAGGGCAACCAACUAUUGGCCUGUCGAAUCCAGCCUUGAAGCAAGAACUUGCAUCUCAUGCAUUGGUUUUCAUGCUUGGGGGCUUAACAAGCAGGUGGAAGCAAGCAGUUGCUUAUCAUUU